rnacentral:rRNA from 1 species
UAGGGAAUCUUCGGCAAUGGACGAAAGUCUGACCGAGCAACGCCGCGUGAGUGAAGAAGGUUUUCGGAUCGUAAAACUCUGUUGGUAGAGAAGAACGUUGGUGAGAGUGGAAAGCUCAUCAAGUGACGGUAACUACCCAGAAAGGGCGGCUAACUACGUGUCAG